ACUUUUAAAGACAUAACAGUAGCAGAAGGGAAGGAUGGGGAAACUUUUCAUCAAAUAACAUUAAUACCUUUUGAACAGAAAACCACGUAUAGGUAUUAACUAUUUUCUUAAAAAUUUAAAAUUUGAAACCAAGAGUAAGGAAGCUCUCCUCACCUACAACCUAAAAAUUAACAGCAAG